UUACACAUGCAAGUCGAACGGCAGCACGGGGGCAACCCUGGUGGCGAGUGGCGAACGGGUGAGUAAUAUAUCGGAACGUACCCAGUAGUGGGGGAUAGCUCGGCGAAAGCCGGAUUAAUACCGCAUACGCACUGAGGUGGAAAGCGGGGGAUCGCAAGACCUCGCGCUAGUGGAGCGGCCGAUAUCUGAUUAGCUAGUUGGUGGGGUAAAAGCCUACCAAGGCGACGAUCAGUAGCUGGUCUGAGAGGACGACCAGCCACACUGGAACUGAGACACGGUCCAGACUCCUACGGGAGGCAGCAGUGGGGAAUUUUGGACAAUGGGGGCAACCCUGAUCCAGCAAUGCCGCGUGAGUGAAGAAGGCCUUCGGGUUGUAAAGCUCUUUUGUCUGGGAAGAAAUCCCCUGGGAUAAUACCUCGGGGGGAUGACGGUACCGGAAGAAUAAGCACCGGCUAACUACGUGCCAGCAGCCGCGGUAAUACGUAGGGUGCAAGCGUUAAUCGGAAUUACUGGGCGUAAAGCGUGCGCAGGCGGUUGUGCAAGACAGAUGUGAAAUCCCCGGGCUUAACCUGGGAACUGCAUUUGUGACUGCACGGCUAGAGUGUGUCAGAGGGGGGUAGAAUUCCACGUGUAGCAGUGAAAUGCGUAGAGAUGUGGAGGAAUACCGAUGGCGAAGGCAGCCCCCUGGGAUAACACUGACGCUCAUGCACGAAAGCGUGGGGAGCAAACAGGAUUAGAUACCCUGGUAGUCCACGCCCUAAACGAUGUCUACUAGUUGUCGGGUCUUAAUUGACUUGGUAACGCAGCUAACGCGUGAAGUAGACCGCCUGGGGAGUACGGUCGCAAGAUUAAAACUCAAAGGAAUUGACGGGGACCCGCACAAGCGGUGGAUGAUGUGGAUUAAUUCGAUGCAACGCGAAAAACCUUACCUACCCUUGA
rnacentral:rRNA from 1 species